CGACCGCAUCACGUUGAAACACCGGUUCGCGUCCGAUCGCCGAAGUUAAUCAACGUGAAACCAACUAAGUACCUAGAUAUGUGACCGCUUGGGGAUACCAGGUUCUGUAAG